UUUGAUCAAAUUAAAGAGUUUAAUUCGAUCACCAAUUAGAAAGGAUUCUAAUUGUUAAGUUCGGGUUCGCGCAGUUUGGACUUAAAUCGAUUAGAAGAGUUCUAAUCAAGUUGGGUCAACUCGCACUCACACCUAUUGCUGGCUAAGUAUGGAACCCAAUGGGUCACACACAAGAAAACUUAUCAAGGGUCUAAUUAGAUUAGAUCAUGUUUGCAAGAUAAACAUCCUAGCAGGUGUUGCAAACCUUAGCUCCUGAUUCGAA
rnacentral:lncRNA from 1 species